rnacentral:rRNA from 1 species
GGUUAAAAAGCUCGUAGUUGGAUUUCUGUUGAGGAUGGCCGGUCCGCUCUAUGAGCGUGUAUCUGGUUCAGCCUUGGCAUCCUCUUGGGGAACGUAGCUACGCUUGAUUGCGCGGUGCGGUAUUCAAGACUUUUACUUUGAGGAAAUUAGAGUGUUCACGGCAGGCAUUCGCCUUGAAUAUAUUAGCAUGGAAUAAUAACAUAGGACCUUGGUUCUAUUUUGUUGGUUUCUAGAACUAAGGUAAUGAUUAAUAGGGAUAAUUGGGAGCAUUUGUAUUAACGCGUCAGAGGUGGAAUUCUUGGAUUGCGUUACGACAAACUACUGCGAAAGCAUUUGCCAAGGAUGUUUUCAUUGAUCAAGAACGAAAGUGAGGGGAUCGAAGACGAUUAGAUACCGUCGUAGUCUUCACCAUAAACUAUGCCAACUAGAGAUUGGAGGUCGUUCUUUUUAUGACUCCUUCAGCACCUUAUGAGAAAUCAAAGUCUUUGGGUUCCGGGGGGAGUAUGGUCGCAAGGCUGAAACUUAAAGGAAUUGACGGAAGGGCACCACCAGGAGUGGAGCCUGCGGCUUAAUUUGACUCAACACGGGGAAACUUACCAGGUCCAGACAUAGUAAGGAUUGACAGAUUGAUAGCUCUU